AUGCUCGCUUUGGCAGCACAUAUACUAAAAUUGGAACAACACAGAGAAGAUGAGCAUGGCCCCUGCACAAGGAUGACAGGCAAAUUCAUGAAGUGUUCCAUAUUAAA